GUGAUUAUAGGGAGCACGUGUCUCAAGUCUAUCAGCAGCUACCUUAGCUUCUCUGGGGGGGACUUCUUCACGAAGAGGCAGUGGGGAUACGUCCAUCUCUGCUGAUACAGAGGCAUCUAUUAGAGAAAUAAAGGAUAUCUAUGAGUUAAAGAACCAGAUUCAGGAUGUAGAAGGCAAAUACAUGCAGGGACUGAAAGAAAUGAAGGACUCUCUAGCCGAAGUUGAAGAGAAAUAUAAGAAGGCUAUGGUGUCAAAUGCUCAACUAGACAAUGAAAAAACAAAUUUCAUGUACCAAGUAGAUACCCUGAAGGAUGCGCUCUUAGAGUUAGAAGAACAGCUGGCAGAGUCCAGGCGGCAAUAUGAAGAAAAAAGUAAAGAAUUUGAGAGGGAGAAGCAUGCUCAUAGCAUAUUGCAAUUUCAGUUCAUGGAAAUCAAAGAGGCUUUGAAGCAAAGAGAAGAAAUGCUUGCAGAAAUCCAACAGCUGCAACAGAAACAGCAGAGCUAUGUCAGGGAAAUUUCUGAUCUUCAGGAGACAAUAGAGUGGAAAGACAAAAAAAUAGGGGCGUUAGAGAGGCAGAAAGAUUUCUUUGAUUCCAUAAGGAGUGAGCGGGAUGACCUUAGAGAUGAAGUGGUUGUGCUGAAGGAGCAACUGAAGAAACAUGGAAUAAUCCCAGAUUCUGAUGUAGCCACCAAUGGGGAGACAUCAGACAUUCUUGAUAACGAAGAACACUUGGAUUCUUCCAAAACUGUUCCAGGCACAACUCAGGCAUUGAAGACUGGAGGGGAUGGGAUGUUAGGCAAAGCCAGUGAAGUGGACAUGAAAAAUGAGAUUUUGGAGGAUAUGGGGAAAAGAGAAAUCUUGCAGAAUACUGAGCAUGAGGAACACAAAGAGGAGUCUGAGGAGCAGGAAUUGCAUGCUGGUGAAAAUGCAAAGGCACAAAAAAUGGUUGAAGAAAGUGAUGCCCUGUCAACAGUGAUGUUACCAGAUAGCAGGUUUACAGUACAAAUUCAAAGCCUUACAGAACACGUAUCAGGGAGUACUUCUUCAAGUGAUGAUAAUGGUGCAGAUGAUUUGAGAAAGGUGGCAGAGUCUGCAGGCACAGCAGUCCAGCAGCCUGUCAGUACAGAGGCUGAACACUGUGACUUGAAUGCAGUGUCAAAUCAGAACUUGGAGGUGGGCUCUCUUCAAAGUCAUCAGAUGUUUGACCCUCCUCAGGAAAUGCAUAGUGACUUAGGUACAGAGCAUGAACUGGAAAAAGCUGCAUCCCAACAGCAAGAUCAAGAGGAUCUUAAAAGUAGCCAUGUCCUGAGUGAUAAUGAAAUGGAUCAAGAGGCCAAAAUCGCAAGUGAGAGCUGUGAGUUGGCUUCUAACCAGGCAGGGUUCCCAGAGGUUACAGCAGCAGGCUUAGUUAGUGAAGAGUUAAAAGUGGAGAGCCACACCGAGGCACUCCAGCACUCAGAAGAAAGUGCCGAAAACCAGGUUACAAGUGUCUUGGAGGAAAACUUUGUUGAAGGCCAAGACAGUACCGAUGGAAGAGCUGGAGAAACAGGUGAUAGAUCUGAACAAGAAAAUGAGGUUGGGAACACGGUUCAGGGUCAGUCGACGGAAACAGAGCCUGUGGGUUUGGAGGGGAUGGAGGCAUGUGGAAGUGGUGUCCCAGCAGCUGAAGUUGAAAAGGAAGGCGGAGGCCAUCAGGCAUUCAUUCAGUCAGUUUCUCCAGAGGGCAGUCCUUCAGCAUCAUCAGAGAAACAAAAUAUGCAGUAUGAAUCUGAACUUGAAAAUGCUAUGGCUGAGAAGGAUGGACAAAAGGAAGCAUUAACAGAAGAGCUGGAGAUGUGUUCAGAUUCUGCAGAAACAGGCAAACAGGAUAAGAUCUCUGUGGAGGCUGUGGACUUUAUUACUGAGAUAGAAGGAAGUGUUCUACAGCAGGCAGAGCCAGACAGAGAAAUUGUGGUGCAGCUCAUGACUCAGGAAACCAGUUUUGACCCAAGUCUUUUAGAUGACAGGAUUAAGGAGUCAGAAUUGGAAACAGGGGAUGAGUCUGGGACAGAAAAGGAAAGUAGGACAGAAUGGGUAGAAGAUACAAAGCUGAAAGUAGGAGUUCAAACUGUUCAGUCUAGUGAAGAAGCAAUAGGUGAGACCGUAGGAGAAAAAAAUACUCCUUUUGAAGGUGAAGCACAGAAUGUAGCUGAACAAGAGGAGGGUGAAUCCAAAGAGGAGUCAACUGUAGAUGUUAGUGUAGCUACUGGAAAAAAGGUUUAUAAAGAAACACUGGAAGAAAAUGAGCAAGAGUUAGAGCUUGCAGACCACCAUGGUGGUGGAUGUACUUCUGAAGAAGGUGUAAAUAAUUUCCUGGCACAGAAAGCUGAGUCGGAUGCAAAUGUUAGUGAACACAUUAUACUGGAGGAUCAAGCCAAGGGAAGACUGGAAGGUGGUGGUGAUGUCUUUGAUUUUGAUGAAGAGUCAAAACAGAUACUAGAAACUGAUAAAAAAUGUGAUGAAGAGAAAGCUUAUACACAGAAAUAUGAGGAUGAUGGAACAAAGGGUGCUGCUGGAAAAACGGCCCAAACAGAUGAAGCUGGAGAAGGAAAAGGCAAAAUAGAAACAGAAGACAUCUUGACUAAAGCUGACAGCUUGCAACAAAAAAAAGCUGAUGAGCCUGAAGAAACAGGGGAAGCAUCAUGGAGAACUGAGGAGAAGACUGAUGUGAUGGAAGAUGAAAUCAAAGCAUCAGAUUCUAAUAAAGUAGAAAAAAUACCAGAUGAAACUGUUAUGGAACAGGAUUUGGAAAGUGCUGGCAAUAACAGGGAAGAAAGCAAUGAGGACUUGCAGAGUGGUCGAAGGGGCAAGGGUAGAUCUAGAGAUGACUGUACAAUAUCCUAAGUUCAGAAUCCCAAGACUACAAAAGCUACAUGCCAUUUGAUCAGUCCCAGUACAGAGGCAUGCGCUUUGCACAAUAGAUCAGACCUUAAGAAUACUCUUAAAUUGGGUUUUUUUUUAAUAGGUAAUUCUCAUCAUAAUACAAUCUUAUGUAAGUGGUAAUGAUGCAAAUAUUAAGUUACUCACUGACAUACUGGGCCACAAGAAAUCGUGUGUGGGUUCAGUAUUGCUGUGUCUCAGGUUAAAAGUUUAUCACUGAAAAAGCAAGCUUCACAAAUCUUCACUAUCUUGCCAUUAAAACACUUUUAGUGUGGGUAACUGCUACUGAGUAAUUUCUAUAGGAAACUUUGUUUUUCUAGCCUAGAUGAUAGAUGUUUUGAAUAUACUUAAUGUGCCCUUUGUGCACUUGUGCGCAUACUUAUGUGUGCUUGCAUGCAUGAGAUCUACCCUAAGUACAUUACCACUUCACGAAGGAACUCAGUGGAUCAGCAACGCUGAUGUGAUUUUGAGCCUUCUUUCUGAAUGAUUGAAGCCUAGGAACCAAUUUGGUCCCCCCCGCCCCCGUUGGAAAAAGAUGAUCCUCUCAUUCCAUUUUUGUGUGUUUCUCAUAUGGUCAUAGUCCCAAGUAUAGUUAGGUCACUUUGAGCCUGUUCAGUCUAAACACUUCAGAAGGACAAUAUUCAGUUUGAAGAAAGCACAGCGUAUACACGUCUUAGUUUGCCAAAGGGAAUAAAUAUUACAUGUUUACUUCAUCUGGGCACUUUGCGCCACAUAGGCCUUUACUCCAUGGCUCACAUGGGGGUUUUUCUGUUUUUUUCUGAAGAAAGUGUUAGUACACUCUGUAAUGUAUGCUUAGAUUUGCUAUCAAGUACUGUGUAGUUAUGAAUAUAUAAAAUACCUAUUUUUUUCCAAGAAGAUUUUUGUUUAAAACUGCAUUUCUUUACACUUUUUUUUUUUUUCAAACUAUGAUUCUGAAAGAAUCUGAAAAAUUCUUUAUCUCUGGAAAGUUCUUACCUCUUCCUUUCUGGAAAGAAGAUAAAUUUGCAUGUCUUAAUUCUCACUGGACAUCAGACCAAAGACUAUUGUUAUUCUUUAUAGUAGCCCCUGUGCCUUUUUGAAAAGCUGGAUUGCUUUAAAUUGCUGGCAUAAAUGAAACAUUUUGACUCCAUUGGUCUGUUUCUUCUUGCAUUUUUGCUAGUGCUUGGGAGGAAGAGCAUGUCUUGCAUACUUAAAAAUCCAUUUAAAGUUGUUCUAAGCAAUGAACAUCCCAAGGAAAUGCAAAUUGAGGAAUUGGGGGGGGGGGGGGGGGCUAUGGAAGGUUGUAUUUGUGAUGUUGCAAAGUUGAUGGAGUACAAACAGACUGCAAAAUGUCAAGAUGUAUAUCAAAGUGUACUGAGCUGUAUAUAAUUGAAAUAAACAUUUUAUACUCUAAAUUGCCUGUCUAGAGCGCUGUUUAUAAACCUGCAUCAAUAUUUAUUUAAAUCUGUAUAAUGUAAAAAACAUUUUUUUUUUUUCUGCAGCUUUGUUUAAAUUGAUUGUGUUGCGCUACAUAGCUAGAAGACCUAUUUUACUAGGAAUGGGCAGCCUUGGUGUUUGAAGACUUUUAAUAUAUGAUAGCAGCCUUUACAGUUCUGUUACAGGUCAUAGGUAACCUGUAACCCUUUUUUUGUACGGCUUCUCUCCAACUUAGAACAGUUUCAGUAUGUUUUCCCUAAGUACUAGCAGUUGUUCUUAAGGAUUUACCUUAAAUGCUAAUCUAAAAAGUCAUAGACCGUAAAAGCAUCUUUCAUUACUGUGUGGUAGUGUUUAUUUAAAGAUUUGUCUCUGCUGUACUUGAAACAAUAAUGCAUGGUUUAAUGUUGAAAGUAUUUUAAAUGCAUUUGUAUUUAAAUGCUAAAUACAGUUAAAUAUAGAAUUAAACAUCCUCACCAGGCUUCACCUAUACUUGUGGAUGGAUCCAUAAGCAACUCUCAGUGAAAUUAGGAACAUGCCAGCAUUUUCUGUAUUUUUCAUACAAGUUUGUUUCUAAUAGAAAUGCUUCUGGAUAGUUGAGGAGAUACUGAACUAAUUUGAACAAGUUUUUCCACUCCAGAAAACAAAGUAUCUGUAAGAGAGGUCCUUUUUAAAGCCAAGUCACAGAAGGAGAAACAAUUCUAGUUUUAACUGACCAUUUACAAGCUUUUAUCCCACAGUAAGUGUCCGACUCUCAGCGAAACUAGAGUAGGAGCAAGAACAUCGGCAUAGCUGAUGUACUAGAAAUCCAUCCUUGAACGUUACUGCUUGGUACCUCUGUUGGUAGCUGGUCGCUGACUUCUGGAAUUGGGCAAGUACCAUGGAGGAAAAGGUCACUCGUUUCUUUUACCUCUUUCAUUUUUGCUUGAGUAUAUACGCACAUCAGGUGAGAGGCAGAGAUCUCCCAGAUAAAUCAGCUUCAAGAUAAAGGGAACUGCUAGAUGUUCUAUUCAAAAUUGAGUAAUUUAAAUAUUAUAUGCCAGCUAGCAUUGAGUGAAAUGUGUGCCAUUAAAAAGGAGAGGAGAUGGUGUCUCAGGAGGAAUUACCUAGAAAAUACAUCUUUUGUAAAGUUACACAGCUGAGAACAGUUUUUAGCAUUUUCCCUCUCAUAUCUAAUGGAAACACGAAAAGAUGCAGUUUGUCCCUGUAUUGGUUUUGACUUUUAAGGACAGCGAAAUAGCAGAUCAUUCUUUUCAUAGUCUAACAUGAAACCAAGAAAUCAUGAGAGGACCUAAAACCAAGAUUCAUAUUUUCUGCUAUUAUGUUACCCAUUUUGCUUUGGGCAGGGACAAUCUGAUGAGCACCACCUGCAGCGUGUAAGACUUGUCUCUCAAAAUAGCUCCAUAGCUCCAAAUGCUCACUGAGUUUUCUGUUCCAAACCUAGUGAUUGGCACGUGUGGCCUCUAAUCCUGAUUUGUGCAUUACUGUGAAUUUGGAGCUAGCUUGAAAUGCUUUCAAAAGCAGUAGCUGAAGAAACUCGUUUGCCUUAUUCAGUAAGUAAUAGUGAAAAACUUUGGUCGGUGUUUUCUUAUUACAGAAAGGAGCAGACCUCCUGUCCCUCUCAAAAUCAGUAUUGCAAGCUUGUUUCUUGAUCUUAUGCUCAUUCACUGACCCAACAGCCUGUCCUCAGCAGUGUCUCUCUUUUGGAAAGAGGGGAAAGUAUUUCCCAGAGUUUGUUAUUGUUGUCUCCUGGUGAUCCAGAAUAAAUCAGCAGAACUUGAAAAGGAGUAUUAUCCAACCUGCUAUUGAUCUCCUAGUUUGAUUCUUGGAGGCUGUAAUGAGUAGCUGCUUGGGGCUGCUGGUACGAUUUCGUGGGAUGUUUUCCCAUCCUCCAACUACAGUUUACCCCUUGCAAUUGCAUUGGGAUUAGUUACUUUCUGGGCCAUACAUCAUGCAAAUAAUUUGUGUUAAAAUCAGAUACUGUCCACCCUGGGCUCCUCUCCAGGUAGGAAGAUGCAUCAGGGAUCCGUGGCUGAUUAAGGGGUGUUAGGUCAACUGUGCCACUGGAACAGCACCCUAGUUAGUAAUACCUUCAGUCAAUUAUAGUAUCAAAGGAAUAAGAAUAGUAAUUUGACUUGCAAACAGGCCUGUACAAUAGCAGAAGACACUGGUAACCACCCCCACACACACCCUGUGUCCUGCUGUCUCCCAGGCCUUCCCAGGGCCCAGCUCCUUCCAUCUGCCUUCUGUUAAGCUCUUCGGUGUAUGAAAGCCAUGUAUUGGUGCAGUGACUAGCCAGGGAAUCAUGUUACCAAAGUUAAAUCUAAGUGAGAUGAGUGUCACAGUGCCAUUGUUCAUCUUUGCAUGUGAAAUAGGGAUGGUGACAGUUACAGAUGGACCAUUUUAAUUAGCUGCUUUGCGUCCUAAUUCAGUAGAUUGCUCUUUUCUGCUCACCUGUCCUCAAGGUCCUCAGAUCCUUGAUGUUGGAAAAAUGUCUCCUAACUGCAAAAUUAACGUGACUGCAGAGAUACCUGUUAAAGCUAAAGUAAGUUUUUUGUGUUAGUGUGAGGUUUUAAGAGAAUGAGACCCAAGAGACUUUUGCCCAUGCAUGCAGAAAAAUUUUCCACAUGAAUGGCAGUUUUAGCAAACUGAAUUUUUUUUCUGUGGUCUUGUAAAUUCUGAUGCGAGUGUGUUAUCUGCCCCAGUGGGCAGAUGUCCAUAAUGGGUGAAGAGAGAACUGACGGUGAGACAGAUUUGAAGGUCCAUCCCAAAACACAGGGAGAGGAGCUGGAAGAAUCUGACACGCUUCUUUACUGGAAACUAGAGGAGAUGUCCUUUUUUCAGGCGGGCAUUCUUCACCCCACAGCAGCACUUGUGUUAAUGAAAGUCACUUAGCUGAGUACAUGACUAAGUUAUUUUCAGGAUCAAGAUGGAUUAUUUGGACCCUUUGGAGUAAAUAAAUCUGGGCUAAUUUUGUAGGGCCUAAGAAUUUUCUUCUGCAUCAGUUCUCAUUCUCUUUCCAAUCCGUAGAACUUCAUUUCUCAGUCUCUGCCAACCUAUGACUUCAAGCCCUAUCUCCAAGUCUGAAUAUUGCUGACCUUUCUUUUACUUAUCCUGUCCUUGCUUUCUUCGUUGACCAUUAUUUUUCUUCCCUAUAUUUCAUCUUUCACAGAAUUUCUCUUAAGGUUCCUUUCCUUUUCAUAUAGAUAAGUGGAAUUGUGUGGUUAUUUUGAAGGGAUUUAUAUUUGUGAAUUUCUGUUACUCAUGGCAGGUUACAAAAAUCUGGUUUCUUUGUUCAUUUUUUUCAUAUCAAUGCUCAGGUGUAACAAUGGUGGGUGUGUUACAAAUGGCUGGGAGGAUAGGACUUGAGGAGGUUCAAAAUGAAUGCGUAGAACUGCUGAACUGGGAUGUCGCUUUAAGAUCUAUAUUUGUGUAUUGCAUCAGAAGUCAAGGUAAAGGUUUUAUUCCCUGCUUUAGAAAGACUGCUGAUAUAUGGGGACUUGUAUACCUAGGAGGGGAAUGACAUGACAUACCACGUUACUACUAGCUAAUGUCUGCCAUGUAGAGGGGCUCAUAUGAAAGCCAAGUUUCCCCAUGAUCUGAUUCAGUACAGACUUUAUUUCCUUUACUGCAUGUGUUAACAAGAAAAAAAGGGGAACCACAAGACUCUGGCACGUUCAUGAUUUGUCAGCAAACGAGAACUGGUAUUUUUAAGGCUUUUCAGAAAUACUUAAGUCUAUCAACAGAAUUCCCCUGGCAGAAGCCCACCAGAGUUUUCUCUGUAAUUUGUGAAUUGCUUUCCUUAAGUUUACAGAAAGACCUUUUUCUCAACUAACCAUUUAAUUAUCAGGCACAACCUUAGAUGUGGAGCUGAGUUCUGAACACCCUUGGUUCUGAACGGGUGACAACUUGCUGGCAAGGGAGGCAAGCUAAAUAAACCUGCAGAAAACAUUCAUGUCAAACUUGUGGAGUAAUACCCGUCUGAGGUCAAUAUAUCCUGUAUGUUGUACACAUAAGUAUAGUUGAAUGCUAUAUUCCAGUCUACUUCUGUUGAUGUGUAUCUGAACAAACUAAGGUUGCUAAUAAGGUAAAGUAACUUUAUUGAUAAGGAAAUUUGUGAGUACCUGCUAAAAUGCUUUCACAUUCUGCACCCCUUAAUAGGGAACGGAAAACCCAAGUGACUUGGUUACUUUCUAGUUCUUUUUGCCAGCUGUCUCGUUCUGUAGUGUGCACUUUAUUAAUGAAUGCCCCACACAUCCAUGUGUCGAUCUGUAGCACUUCUAAGUUCAAGUGUAGCACAACAGCUGGUCCAGAUUGUCCAUUGCCUACUUGAUGUUUGACCAGGAGAAUUGGCUAUGAAGGUUUAAAGAGAAAAGAAAGCUUUACCAGACUGCUGUUAGAAACAAAAAAUAAUUGAAUGGGCAAAGGUUUGUUCUGGUCAUAAUAUUGGACAUAAUACAAAAUGCCAUUGCCAUGCUGUUUAGUAAAAGAAGUGAUGAUGUAAAGUGCUGAGAAUGUGCUUAGCUACAAUUAUAGGUGUCUACAGUAUUUUCAGUAUGCUAAACUGUAAAGAUUUGAGAUAUUUUGUGUUGCAGUUGUGUUUGACCCUAGAGUUCUUGCAUGCUAACCUAACGUAGAAGAUUAGCCUCUUUGCAUGCAGCUGGGUGCUGCUACUGCCGUGACAAGCAUGUUCUGUGAGAAUGACAUAACCUCCCUUGGCUGCAGCCCCUUCCCAGCCCUGUCUGUGGCCUCGUUUCCUGUGACAGGCUGAAAAAACUCAUUGAUGAACGAGAAUCCUUACUAGACCAGGU